GACGAACGCUGGCGGCGUGCCUAACACAUGCAAGUCGAGCGAGUUGAUUCUCUUCGGAGAUGAAGCUAGCGGCGGACGGGUGAGUAACACGUGGGCAACCUGCCUCAUAGAGGGGAAUAGCCUCCCGAAAGGGAGAUUAAUACCGCAUAAGAUUGUAGCUUCGCAUGAAGUAGCAAUUAAAGGAGUAAUCCGCUAUGAGAUGGGCCCACGGCGCAUUAGCUAGUUGGUGAGGUAACGGCUCACCAAGGCGACGAUGCGUAGCCGACCUGAGAGGGUGAUCGGCCACAUUGGGACUGAGACACGGCCCAGACUCCUACGGGAGGCAGCAGUGGGGAAUAUUGCACAAUGGGGGAAACCCUGAUGCAGCAACGCCGCGUGAGUGAUGACGGCCUUCGGGUUGUAAAGCUCUGCCUUCAGGGACGAUAAUGACGGUACCUGAGGAGGAAGCCACGGCUAACUACGUGCCAGCCGCCGCCGUAA
rnacentral:rRNA from 1 species